CAGAAGGGGCGGAGCCUUUUGGAGUGAUGGGGGGAGGGCGUGAUCAGUUCACCCUCCUGGGUUGUCUUCUCUGAGCUGCGGAGGGAGACUGUCACCACCAUCGCCCCCUCCGGUCGAGAGCUGGUAUUGCAUACCUGAUCAGAGCCGGCGAGGCGAUCCCCAGACGUGCAUGCAUGACACGCCUCAUAAUCUCCGAAAUGAAAAGAUUCCCCUCUCCUCUUAGCUGGUACCUCUUAAUCCCAGACGCUGCCUCGUCGCUCUCCUCUGGACUUUCUUUAGCGCUGCACUCCGUACUCCCGGCGCGGCCUCACCAGUGAGUUACAGAACUCACUUGUAUUGGUUUUGACUAAAUACCGCCAUCUGUUGGUAGCAAAAAGUAACAAGUUCAGUUUCUGCCUGCUGAGGUGCAUCGGUUUACUUGACUUGCAAAUGCUGCUCACUUCUUUUCCCACACACCUCCCUACGGGGCGUGCUGUCACAUAAUGGCACCGGAUGGUGACGACGUGCUGCGUGUUGCACAUGCAAGUGCGAAUUUCACUGCAACCCUACAAACUGAUAUUGUAUUGGUUACUGAUGCCCAUUACUUAAACAAUACCACCACCCGCUGGAUUAAAGUUGUAUUACAUGUGAUAUUAAUUUACAGAGCACUUUUCUCGCUACCCAAGGGAGUGGGGAGCCACUUGGACCACCACCAACAUGCAGCACCCACCUGGAUGAUGAGACGGCAGCCAUUCUUGUACCAGUACGCUCACCACACAUUACGCUAUUAGGGCCAACAGAGAUAAUUAAGACAAUUAGGGACAGGGGAUGAUUAGAGGGUCUGGAAUGAACAGACUGGGGUGGGCAAUUUAGCCAGGACAUUGAUAAACCCCCUACUCUUUAUGACCAAAGAGAGGGUCACAACAUUGGCACCAAUGGUUUUUUUUUUUUUUAGGCAAGGCGAGUUAGGAUCCCCCUGCUGGCGUCACCAACACCACUGCCAGCAGCAAUCCAAGCUUUCCUGGUUGGUCUCCCAUCCAAGUACUCGUCAUAUCUAAACAUGCUUAACUUCAGCAUGAUGCCUUGUUCUUGUGCUGGUUAGCAAGAUCUUCCAUCCAUCCGUGUUCCUACCACAAACACACUCAAACUCUCAGGCCAAUUUAGCAGUUCACAGUUUUAUAAAAGUGCAAUUUCUGUUCUGUUAUCAAAAGGUAACAUCUGCCUGAACAGAGUAACCCCUUUAGAGACACAGCGUCCCCGUUAUUCAUAUCAUUCUUUAUUUAAAAUACUCAUACCGUUCAAGGCCAUGAGGAACCAGAGCCCACCCAUGCCUGCCAGUGUUGCCAGGUCCACAGUUUUCUGCCCCCUAGUUUGGCUGUUUUCGUUUGGUUUACACGGGAAGAAAAGUGGACUUUCAAGGGUUUCAUUUUAGGGUUCAGUGCCGCUCGAUGCAACAAUGGGAACAACUGGGAUGUUAGCACUCUGAGGGGGAAGCAAACUCUUCACUGUUUUAGUUUGCAUUUUGGUCAAUGGGGAAAAAUACACCAUGUACUGGGCUGGUUUCUAGUGCCAUUGGGUGAAUUUGGGCUGGCAGUUUUUGCAGAAACCUGGCAAACCUUGGCACCCACUCAUUAGAACAAUCCAGGCAUGAACAGACCAUUGUGUCCAACAAAGCCUGUUCACUUAAAUCCUCCAGAAGUUGGGCUUUGGUGGUGCCUAAAAAUCCUUGGUCACUUAUUCCAUGUGGUUCACUGUGUAAAAAGAAAAACUUCCUAAUGUUGGUGUAAAAUAUCCCCUUAACUGUGUCCCCCGUGUUCUUACUGAACUCAUUUUAAAGUCACGACUCCAUCCACUGCACUAAUUCCCUUCAUAAUUUCAAAAGAACUCAACUGAGAAACCCGUUGGGGUAAAGAAGAGGAAAAUAACAAAAAUUGGCGCAGCGGCACCACCUGGUGGACAGAGAGAGGCACUGCAGGCUGAAAGAUCUCCCAACUCCUUUCAUUUAAAUAGGAAGGUGACAACCGCCGGGGCAGGUGACAUGUUGGAAAUGUAAACCCAAUUUUGGUAACUGGGGUACCAGAGAGCUUUUUUUUUUUUUUCUAAAAGUGGUAAAGAACUGGGCAAUUCUUUUACUAUUUUAAAAAGUGUGGUUAUAUUGCAAUUUUAUAUUAAAGGACUCAGUAAGUGUACAUUAAAUGCUGCAUUUUUAUAUGUUUUUCAAGUUACCUUUUUAUUUUAUUAUUUCAUGUAUGUCUUAAGUAACGUAAAGCAAAUGCCUAAAAUUAAUAUAUUUAAACCCUUCUCCCCAAAAAGGGCUGACUUUUAAAAAAAAAAAAAAAAAAAGGAAA